UUUAUUAAGAGGUAGGGCCUGCUCACUGAUGAAUUAAAGAGCCGCGGUAUAUUGACUGUGCUAAGGUAGCAUAAUAAUUUGUCUUUUAAUUGAAGACUAGAAUGAAUGGUUUAACGAGAAAUUGACUUUUUUGAAAGUAAUAUUUUGAAUUUAAUUUUUUAGUGAAAAAGCUAAAAUAUAAUAAAAAGACGAGAAGACCCUAUAGAGUUUUAUAUUUAGGUUAUUUGUUUUUAAAUAAUAUAGGUAAUUGUAAAUAAUUAAAAUAUUUUGUUGGGGCGACAUUUAGAUAAGAAAAACUUUUUAUUUUUAAAAUUUCAAUUGAAAAAUUUUUGAUCCUUAAAAAAGAUUAAAAGAAUAAGUUACCUUAGGGAUAACAGCGUAAUCUUUCUUGAGAGUUCUAAUCGACAGAAAGGUUUGCGACCUCGAUGUUGGACUAAAAUUAAACUAAGAAGCAGUAUUCUUAGAUUUAGGUCUGUUCGACCUAUAAACUUUU
rnacentral:rRNA from 1 species